GGGCGAGUUUGCUUCUGGUUCAUGUCAAAUUAACAUCAUGACUAGAUCCAUACUCGUCUGC
rnacentral:pre_miRNA from 1 species